rnacentral:rRNA from 1 species
AUGGCGACGCUCGCCGUGCCGCCUACCGCCGCCGCCCUGCCCGCCCAGGAAGACCCACGCACCAGCGAGAAGCCAUCUGCCGGCGACUCUGCUGCGGAUCCGAGCGAUAUCGACUCCGGGUGGGUUUUCCUCGGGAAGUCUGAUGUGGUUCCGGCGGACCAGGCCGCGGCCGCCGUCGACGCCGCGGGCCGCCGACGCCUCGGCUUCUCGCCGCUGCCGAUGUUACCUAUCUGGGUGCAGAUGGUGCUCGGAGGCGUAGUCUACACGGCCGUGCCGUUCUACAAGAGGGCCAGGCAGAUGGAAGACAAGGCGAUCGAAAACGUGGAAACUGCUUUGGACGUUUUGGAGCGGGCCUCCGAGGUGACGGAGAAGUUCGCUGCUAAUGUGGCCAAUUCCCUACCGGAGGAUGGGUCCCUGCACAAGUUGGCCGAGGAGCUUGAGUACAUUGCGGAGGAAGUCGAUAAGGAUGCACACAAGGCUGAAGUCAUGAUUAAGAAGAUUGAAGCGCUCAGCGACAAGAUCGACGCCGCGGUGGAGCCUGUCAUCGAAAACCUCGAGGAGGAGUUCAAGCCAAACCCAGCAUCCCACGCUGGAUCAGACGCCGAGAAAUGA